rnacentral:rRNA from 1 species
GCUCAGCCAUAAACACAGAUAGCCCAAACACAAAGCUAUUCGCCAGAGAACUACAAGUGAAAAACUCGAAACUCCAAGGACUUGGCGGUGCUCCAAACCAGCCUAGAGGAGCCUGUCCUAUAAUCGAUACUCCACGUUUUACCUUGCCCUCCCUUGUAAACACAGCCUAUAUACCGCCGUCGUCAGCCUACCUCAUGAGAGAGCCAAAGUAGGCACAACAAUUAACAACUAGCACGUCAGGUCAAGGUGUAGCAAAUGGUAGGGGAGAGAUGGGCUACAUUUUCUACCUCAGACAAUUACGCACAACGAAGUGAAUACCUUCGUCCAAAGGCGGAUUUAGCAGUAAAACAGAUAAGAAUCUCUGCUUAAAACUAGCUCUGGAGCGCGCACACACCGCCCGUCA